UUUAAGGUUUUUCCCCUUGAACCUGCGGAAGGAUCAUUGU
rnacentral:rRNA from 1 species